UCUUUUCCUUAAACACUACCACAAAAACAGGAGAUAGUGGCGGAUAGUUAGUAGCUGUUUUGACAAUAGCCGCUAUCUAAUGGUUUUCCAACAAAUUUAAUGGUGAACGCUGAAAGAGCAGCCAUUUGAUUCAGUUUUGCUGCGAAUUUAAAAAAAUCGCUGUCAAUCUAUCUUGGCCGUAUUUCAAUCUCUCAUUCUCCUAGUCCCAUAAUCCCAUUUAUCAGACACACUUUUCUCCCUCUCUCCUCUCUUUGCAAAAAUAUCUCCAAACCCUGCUAACCCUAAUCUUCUUCUACGAGGUACCAUCGGCGAUAGAUUUCUGCCUCCGUCACCUCCAACCUUCAUCGACGCACCCGUCGCAGGUUCAGAUUUGUUCUAGUUACUUUCUCAUGUCUGUUUCUUCUGAUUCAGAUCCUCUGCCAAAGCUUCACGUCGGACGAGCCUCUCGACUUUGGAGCUGCAGAUUCAGACUCCGCGUGCCUCUGUUCUAGCUUUUGCUUGCUAUUGGUGCCUCUUUCCUUUUGCUCUGCUUUGGUUUGAUUUAAUUUGUUCUGAACUCUCUUUUUAUGCAUUUUGAAAUUGGUUUUGCUCAUUUUUUUAUACCCAGUAAAUGAUUUGCUUCAUCCAUGGUAAUUCAACUCGGUUGUUCAAAUUUUAACACAUUCCUUGUGAUAACCAUUCCCAUUUCUGUUCCUAUUCCACAAUUGUGUACCUUUACUACUACCGUUUUUGAAAUUAUUAUUAUUAUUAUUAUUAUUAUUAUUAUUAUUAUUAUUAUUAUUAUUAUUAUUAUUAUUAUUUGUUUAAUUUUUAACCUUCUCUUCCAAAGUAUGAAGUAGGAUUCUGAUUGCAAAAUCGGCAUGGUAUUAUUGUGUUGUGUUGCGUUGUUGUUUCAUUCUAAGCCCUACUAUUAGUUAAAGAGGAAUUCCCUUGGCCCCUGUUGCUGUCUCAAUAGAAUCUUCUUUUUUGCUCCCACCUUUUUGAGGGUACGUAACAGUAUAUUGAGGUAAUUAAUUGGAUUAAUGCAAAUGGCACAAUGCUAUUUCGUAUAUCUCACAUAAUUUUUCUUCUGUUAUGUGCAUUGUAUUCUGAUGUAUUCAAAACUUACUUUUCUAUUGCUGAUUGAUAUUGUAGAAGUCUACGACAUAAUGGCUGUUUGUGGAUGUAUUUGUUUUUUCUGUUUGUAGUAGGGAUACAACAAGACCAAGGAUUUAGAUAAUGAGGAGCUCUUGGAGUAGUUGCCUGCUUUGUAGCAGCUGCUAUAUAGACUUGUUGGUUGUCAGUUUAACAAUUCUCAUAACUGGGAGCACUUGAGGGGUUGCCUAGUCAAAUUUGAAGACUGCAAUAUACUUUCCAAGAAAAAGAAGGCUUUGCUACAGGCUCUUGGUGAUAGGAAGGGUAUUAAUCGGUUUGGUGACUUCUCUGCUCCACUUGAUGAAGCAUUAAUACACAUUUCACUGGAUUUAUCUGGCCGACCACAUUUAAGUUAUAAUUUAGAUAUCCCUACCCGGAGGGUCGGGACAUAUGAUGCUCAGUUAAAAUUAAACACUGACUUUGCAUCUAUAAGGUGUCCAGAAACAACUGUCUAUAGGGGCAUCACGAGUGACUCUGUUGGUGAGAAAUUUGAAGAAAAAAUCAUUGUGAUCCAGGAUUUUGGAGGAGGUAAUGAAAAAGUUUGUAGACAUUGUGCAUUUUUUACAUUUGGAGAUACAUGAAGCAUUUGGCAGUGCUGGUGCUUUCAAGAACUGCAAAUAAUUGAUUAUGAGCAUUUGGCAGUAUGGAAUGUCUCCUUAGGGUUCCAGUUUUUGCACUCAAUCUCUGCUACCUAUCCACUAGGGAAGACCAUUAUUAAAAUGUGCAUUUUGCUUCUGGUAUUUUGUUUUGGAGAUGUCAUUCUCGUAAUUUGUUACUACUUUAUUCUUGUGAUAUUUUAACCAUCUUUAGGUUGCUCUUAUUUUUGUGUUUGUUUAGAUGUAAAAUAUGUAUGCGGUAAGAAUCCUUAUUAAACAUUUUCAUUUAUUUUAAUAACAAAGUUUACAAGAAAAUCAUGAAGUUA